rnacentral:rRNA from 1 species
GACGAACGCUGGCGGCGUGCUUAACACAUGCAAGUCGAACGAGAAAGGCUCUUCGGAGCCGAGUACAGUGGCGAACGGGUGAGUAACACGUGGGCAACCUGCCCCAAGGAGCGGGACAACCCGAGGAAACUCGGGCUAAUACCGCAUAAUUCGCAGAGCCAUAAGACUCUGCGGGAAAUGGUAGCUUCGGCCUCCGCCUUGGGAUGGGCCCGCGGCGCAUUAGCUUGUUGGUGAGGAACGGCCCACCAAGGCGACGAUGCGUAGCUGGUCUGAGAGGACGAUCAGCCACACUGGGACUGAGACACGGCCCAGACUCCUACGGGAGGCAGCAGUGGGGAAUCUUGCGCAAUGGGCGGAAGCCUGACGCAGCAACGCCGCGUGUGGGAAGACGGCC